rnacentral:rRNA from 1 species
CGGGACGGGGUGGAGUAAUGUCUGGGAAACUGCCUGAUGGAGGGGGAUAACUACUGGAAACGGUAGCUAAUACCGCAUAACGUCGCAAGACCAAAGAGGGGGACCUUCGGGCCUCUUGCCAUCGGAUGUGCCCAGAUGGGAUUAGCUAGUAGGUGGGGUAACGGCUCACCUAGGCGACGAUCCCUAGCUGGUCUGAGAGGAUGACCAGCCACACUGGAACUGAGACACGGUCCAG